GCACAAGGGAGCUUGACUGUGAGACUGACAAGUCGAGCAGGGACGAAAGUCGGGACUAGUGAUCCGGCACCGGCAUGUGGAAGCGGUGUCGCUCAACGGAUAAAAGGUACCCCGGGGAUAACAGGCUGAUCUUCCCCAAGAGUCCAUAUCGACGGGAUGGUUUGGCACCUCGAUGUCGGCUCGUCGCAUCCUGGGGCUGGAGUAGGUCCCAAGGGUUGGGCUGUUCGCCCAUUAAAGCGGCACGCGAGCUGGGUUUAGAACGUCGUGAGACAGUUCGGUCUCUAUCCGCCGCGCGCGUUAGAAACUUGAGGAAGGCUGUCCCUAGUACGAGAGGACCGGGACGGACGAACCUCUGGUGUGCCAGUUGUUCCACCAGGAGCACCGCUGGUUAGCUACGUUCGGAAGGGAUAACCGCUGAAAGCAUCUAAGCGGGAAGCCUGUUCCAAGAUGAGGUUUCUCACCCCCUCGAGGGGGUAAGGCCCCCGGCAGACCACCGGGUUGAUAGGCCAGAACUGGAAGUCGGGUAACCGAUGCAGGUGACUGGUACUAAUAGGCCGAGGACUUACCAUAA
rnacentral:rRNA from 1 species